CCACUUUCCUGCCACCUCCAGGCUCCGCCUCUGGGCCACCCUGGGGGGCUUGGGGAGGGCCGGCAGCGUCCCUGGCUGGAGCGGCUCCCUCCUGGACCCCGAGCCUGCCGCACCCUCCUGAGGUCCCAGGAACUUCCCAGGGAGACAGGGGUAGGGGGCAGUGCCAAUCGGACCUCUGGGCCGCGAGAGAGGCCCAACCAGCGGCAAGAAGAAAAUGGCUGAGCGCAGCCUCUCACAAAGCAGAUGGGGAACUGGCCGCCGGCCGGGUCUAACCCAACUGCCAGAAAGACCGCCGGCCAGGAGCAGCCGGUAUCAUCUUCUGAGGUCCAUUCUACAUUACCUUUGGUCCAUCUCCCACUGUGGAACUCAGCCCUGUGAGGCAGGAUCCUUGUUUUGUUUCUGGAUGAAUCUUGGGAGCCAGAGCCCCGCAUGGCACAAGAUUUAGGAGAAGUACAUCAAACAUCCUCACACCCCCAGAAGCCAGUCAGAUAGAUGUCUCCGAAGUGCAAGCAAAGUGUCUCCCUCAGAUGGGAGCCGAAGAAAAAUAUCUAAUAAUUAUGUUGAAUGUUAAUAAUUAAAGUUAAUAUAACUCA